rnacentral:rRNA from 1 species
GACGAACGCUGGCGGCGUGCUUAACACAUGCAAGUCGAGCGGAAAGGCCCUUUCGGGGUUACUCGAGCGGCGAACGGGUGAGUAACACGUGAGUAAUCUGCCCUGGGCUUUGGGAUAGCCCUCCGAAAGGGGGAUUAAUACCGGAUAUGAUGCAUGCUCGCAUGGGUGUGUGUGGAAAGUUUUUUCGGUUCAGGAUGUGCUCGCGGCCUAUCAGCUUGAUGGUGGGGUAAUGGCCUACCAUGGCUUCGACGGGUAGCCGGCCUGAGAGGGUGACCGGCCACGCUGGGACUGAGACGCGGCCCAGACUCCUACGGGAGGCAGCAGUGGGGAAUAUUGGACAAUGGGCGGAAGCCUGAUCCAGCAACGCCGCGUGAGGGAUGACGGCCUUCGGGUUGUAAACCUCUUUCACCCAUGACGAAGCGCGAGUGACGGUAGUGGGAGAAGAAGGACCGGCCAACUACGUGCCAGCCGCCGCCGUAA